GCAGCUCUUAGGGGCAUGAAAGAGAAAUGGUGGGGGAUUGUCUCUUCCAGAGAGAGAUGGCUAGAAAAGCUUAGUGGAUCAUAGGUCAGUUCAGAUCAGAUCAAUUCCCCUCUAUGUGCCAGCGCCAGAGAUGAACAGAUGAACAAGACACAGCCCUUGUCUUCCCAGAACAGACCAACCGGUGGGGGAAAUAGACAGAUAAUAUCAAUAAGAUAUAGUAUCAGAGAGACAUACCCAGGGUGCCAUGGGAGCCUGGUGGAGGGACACCUCAUCACGAAAAGGGGUUGGGCUACGUGAAAGAAACGACACUUGGGCUGAGUCUUUAAGUAUGAACAAGAACUUACUCAUGGAAGAAAGUGAGAAGAGCGCUCGGGCAGGAACAACAGUGUAAGCAAAGGCCCAGAAGCAUGACCAGCAUGGGCGAGUUAAGGAAACGAGCUGAGAGUUCCUAGGUCAGAAAGUAGGAAGGUAGGAGGGCAGGGAGCUAAGGCCGUUAGUGAGGGAGGGGCCAGGCUCUGUAUGCCAAACUAAUAAACAGGUUAGACUUUAUUCUAUAGGCUAUAAGGAGGCCCAACAGGCUUUAAAUAGGGGUAGGACCCAUUUAUAGAGUUCCAAAUUGCAGUAGGUGUCACUGAUUUCUGUAUGCCCACCUUCAGACUAUCAGGUUCCAGAGUGGUCUUUCUAAUGCACAAAUCCAAUGAUAUUGCAUGAGUGAAUCAAAAGAGUUAUUCAGGAACAAAGAGAAAGGUUGUCAAGCUGCACUGAGGAUCCCGCGGAGAUGAGAAAUCAUGAAUUUGCAGAGCCGCCAACUUGCACUGCUGUGUCAUGUUCUCCAUGAUGGAGACAGUCAGAAUUUUGCCAUGUCAGACUCGAGAGUGAAGAGUGCUGGUGAGAGAGCAAUUUUGAUAACUCACCACAGUGGUGAAGGUUGGGUAAGAAGGAGCAUAGCGACGGCCCAGCACCUGAGUCCUGGCCUCGCUCUUUCCUCACAGGACAAACAACAUGAGCUUCAGUGCCCAGUCCACCUUCUCCAACUACCGGUCCCUGGGCUCCGCGCAUCACCGGGCCACCGGGUCCGACUGGUCACCAGCGCUGCCAGCGUCUAUGCAGGCGCCGGGGGCUCAGGCUCCCGGAUCUUUGUGUCCCACUCCACCAGCGUCCAGGGCGGCUGGGGAUCCAGGAACAUGGGCACCGGGAUGGCCAGGGGUCUGGUGGGUAUAGGGGGCAUCCAGGGCAAAAAGGAGACCAUGCAAGACCUGAAUGACCGCCUGGCCUCUUACCUGGAGAGGGUGAAGAGCCUGGAGGCCGAUAAUAGGAGACUGGAGUGCAAAAUCCGAGAACACCUGGAGAAGAAGAGACCCCAGGUCAGAGACUGGGGGCAUUACUUGAAGACCAUCGAGGACCUCAGGGCUCAGAUUUUUGCAAGUUCUGUGGACAAUGCCUGUCUUACUGCUGAUGACUUCAGAGUCAAGUAUGAGACGGAGCUGGCCAUGUGCCAGUCUGUGGAGAGUGACAUCCACAGGCUCCACAAGGUCAUUGAUGACACCAGUGUCACCUGGCUGCAGCUAGAGACUGAGAUGGAGGCUCUCAAGGAGGAGCUGCUCUUCAUGAAGAAGAACCACGAGGAGGAAGUAAAGGGUCUGCAAAACCAGACUGCCAACUCCGGGUUGACCGUGGAGUUGGAUGCCCCCAAACCUCAGGACCUCAGCAAGAUCAUGGUGGACAUCCGGGCCCAGUAUGACAAGCUGGCUCAGAAGAACCGAGAGGAGCUGGGCAAGUACUGGUCCCAGCAGACUGAGGAGAGCACCACAGUGGUCACCUCUCAGACCGCUGAGAUAGGAGCUGCUGAGAUGACACUCACGGAGCUGAGAUGCACCGUCCAGUCCCUGGAGAUCUACCUGGACUCCAUGAGAAAUCUGAAGGCCAGCUUGGAGAACAGCCUGAGGGAAGUGGAGGCCCGCUAUGCCAUGCAGAUGAAACAGCUCAAUGGGGUCCUCCUGCACCUGGAGUCAGAGCUGGCCCAGACCUGAGCAGAGGGGCAACGCCAGACCUAGGAGUACAAGGCCCUGCUGAACAUCAAGGUCAACCUGGAGGCUGAGAUCAACACCUACCACCGCCUGCUGGAAGAUGGGGAGGACUUCAGUCUUGGUGACACCGUAGACAGCAGCAACUCCAUGCAAACCACCUAGAAGACCACCACCCUCAGGCUUGUGGACGGCAAAGUGGUAUCUGAGACCUCAGACACCAAAGUUCUGAGGCAUUGA